AAAUACUAAUCUUUGUACUGCUUGUGUCACAUAAAUUAGGAUUGGGAUGAUUUUAAAAUUUUAAUUUUGGUUAUACAUUAUAAAAUAGCCGAAAAAUUGAAUGAUAUAAUUUUUUUUAAAAAUAACCGAAUGAAUCGUCCUAUCGAUAACCCUAAUGUUACUUCUACUCUGUUUAUUUUUACUUAAAUUUAGAAAGAUAUGCUUCAUUUCUAC
rnacentral:lncRNA from 1 species